rnacentral:rRNA from 1 species
UACGAGGGGGGCUAGCGUUGCUCGGAUUGACUGGGCGUAAAGGGUGCGUAGGCGGAUAGUACAGUCAGGCGUGAAAUUCCUGGGCUCAACCUGGGGGCUGCGUUUGAUACGUAUUGUCUGGAGUUCGGAAGAGGGUCGUGGAAUUCCCAGUGUAGAGGUGAAAUUCGUAGAUAUUGGGAAGAACACCGGUGGCGAAGGCGGCGACCUGGUCCGAUACUGACGCUGAGGCGCGAAAGCGUGGGGAGCAAACAGG